GUGAGAUGAGAGAAGAGAGAAAUAGUGACGAGAAAGAACCCGAGAGAGAUGAGAUGUUUAUUCGGUUAGUGGAGAGAAUGGAGAGAAUGAGUGAUUGGUAAUGUGUUGGCCGAAUGGUUUUUGGAAGGAGAGAUAAGUUGCUGCAGGUCUCCUAUGGAAAGAUUAGUUUAUGCUAAGUGGAAGAUUAGUUUAUGUUAAGUGGAAGAUUAGUUUAUACUAAGUGGAAGAUUAGUUUAUGGGAUUAAGUGGAAGAGUGGGCUGCUGCUGGUCGAGAAUGGAGAUGAAGGUGUGAGUGUAUUUUAUGAUGGAAAUGGUGAGUGGAAGGUGCUGGCCGAGAAUGUAGAUACGAGUGGAGUGCGUUGCUUUUAUUUAUUUUAUUAUAUCCUUCUUUUU